rnacentral:rRNA from 1 species
UGGGGAAUAUUGGACAAUGGGCGCAAGCCUGAUCCAGCUAUGCCGCGUGGAUGAAGAAGGCCCUAGGGUUGUAAAGUCCUUUCGUUGGUGAAGAUAAUGACGGUAACCAAAGAAGAAGCCCCGGCUAAUUUCGUGCCAGCAGCCGCGGUAAUACGUAGGGUGCGAGCGUUAAUCGGAAUUACUGGGCGUAAAGCGUGCGCAGGCGGUUUUGUAAGACAGACGUGAAAGCCCCGGGCUUAACCUGGGAACGGCGUUUGUGACUGCAAGACUAGAGUAUGGCAGAGGGGGGUAGAAUUCCACGUGUAGCAGUGAAAUGCGUAGAGAUGUGGAGGAAUACCGAUGGCGAAGGCAGCCCCCUGGGUCAAUACUGACGCUCAUGCACGAAAGCGUGGGGAGCAAACAGGAUUAGAUACCCCCGUAGUCCCUGAGCGGGCUGGCAAGGCGCAU